rnacentral:snoRNA from 1 species
AUUUCACAUGAUGAAUACUUCAAAUUCUUGAUAGGAAGAGUAUGAAACACACAUGAGUACUAUAAAACUAGCUGAUAGCAAA